rnacentral:rRNA from 1 species
AAAGGAUAGAAGCUGAAUCCCGAGUAGUACGGGGCACGAGAAAUCCCGUAUGAAUCAGCGAGGACCAUCUCGUAAGGCUAAAUACUACUGUGUGACCGAUAGAGAACAAGUACCGCGAGGGAAAGGUGAAAAGAACCCCGGGAGGGGAGUGAAAAAGAACAUGAAACCGUGAGCUUACAAGCAGUGGGAGUCCGAUUAAACGGAUGACCGCGUGCCUGUUGAAGAAUGAGCCGGCGACUUAUAGGUACUGGUAGGUUAAAGCGGGAAUGCUGGAGCCAAAGGGAAACCGAGUCUGAAAAGGGCGAUAAUCAGUAUUUAUAGACCCGAACCCUGGUGAUCUAACCAUGGCCAGGAUGAAGCUUGGGUAAAACCAAGUGGAGGUCCGAACCGACCGAUGUUGAAAAAUCGGCGGAUGAGCGGUGGUUAGGGGUGAAAUGCCAAUCGA